CAGUCGCCACGGUAAUACGAAGGGGGCUAGCGUUGUUCGGAAUUACUGGGCGUAAAGCGCACGUAGGCGGAUAUUUAAGUCAGGGGUGAAAUCCCAGAGCUCAACUCUGGAACUGCCUUUGAUACUGGGUAUCUUGAGUAUGGAAGAGGUGAGUGGAAUUCCGAGUGUAGAGGUGAAAUUCGUAGAUAUUCGGAGGAACACCAGUGGCGAAGGCGGCUCACUGGUCCAUUACUGACGCUGAGGUGCGAAAGCGUGGGGAGCAAACAGGAUUAGAUACCCGGGUAGUCCCUGUCUCUUAUAC
rnacentral:rRNA from 1 species